rnacentral:lncRNA from 1 species
UGGAAUCUAUUGUCAGGUAUUGUAAGGAAUGUAUUUUGAAGGUCACGUACCUGGGAAAGUAAACUUUGAUGUAUGUAAAUUAAGUUCGAAUUAUAUUAUUAUUUAGUAUUAUUCAGCUUAAAGAAAUGGUAUCGUGGAGAACCGAGUUCGGGUUUCAAGUACCUGGAUUUGGGGUCGCCACAGCCAUUGUCAAGAGUUGUACAAUGGCAUGGGAUUAGAGUUUGUACGAAGUCAUUGAAGAUGGGAUGAUGCCCUCCGGUCUUCAAGCUUCAAAUUCCAUCCGUUACCCCGAACAAUAGUCACUCGGGAUUGGUUCUCCUUGAUUCUUGUGGGACAUCAUUGUGUAGAUAUGUGUAUGAAAUGUUGAGAUGACGUGAC